CAAAAACCUGUGCAUGAAAAUUCACAGCAGCUUUAUUCAUAAUAGUCCUGAACUGGAAGCAAGCCAGACAUCCUUUCAGGGGUGAACGGUUCAACAAAUUGCAGUUCAUUCCUACCACAGAAUGCCACUCCAGCACUAGAGAGGAGCAAGCUAUUGAUGUACGCAACAAUUUGGAUGAAUCUCGAGGAGGUUAUGCUGAGUGAAAAGCUCCAAUCUGCAGUUUACGUACCGUAUUGCUCCAUUUCUAUAACACCCUCAAAAUGACAAAAGUACAGAAAUAGAUGACAAAUGAGCAGUUCCCAGGGCUUAGCGAUGGGGGAUGUGGAAAAAGAGGGAUGUGGAUAUGAAAAGGCCACUGCUUGGACAAUGUUUAGUUUCAGCUUAAAAACUCUCAUCUCACCCUCUACAACUGCCUCUCCCCUCCAGCCUCCUCUAACAUGUCCUCUGGCUCAUGUCUAAGUGGAUUUGUCACACGUGUUUGGGAAGUCAUUACCCAGGAAAAGGCUCCUCUCUUGACCAAUCUAACCCAGCCCUCUUCACAUCUCUCUUAUUUCCUUUAAACACCCUUUGCAGGCAACGUCAAAAACAUGCUGUCUUUUGAAAACAUAAACUUCUUGCUCUCUGAGAGCUGGAAGUCUGGGCAGAGAUGAAGUGUACCUUGUUCAGACCCUUCUCCUGUGCCUAAGCCACCUGUCAGCCAGGAAGCUUGCUGGUGGUGGUAGCUCUGGCCCAGACCCUUACGAUGAAGAGUUGACUACAGCAGUUUAUUCAUCUUUUUUUCCACCAAAGAAAGAGUUAAUCUCUCCUCCUUCCAGCUAUCUUGCCAACAGCUCUGAGAGAGUAAAGAAUCUGACCGAAAGCAUACAGUAUAAGUGAUCGUGUCAGCAUUUCUCCGGCACUAAUGCCCUAGAGUCUCUUCACUGGACCAGGACACUGAAGAGGACAGAGUGGCCCAGGGAUGGCAAAAGGGAAAAGCAGAAUCCUCAGACUCAGGAAACAGAAUGAGAAGGGUGCUUUAGGCGGAGGGGGCCAAGGCGACCCAAACUGAGAAACUCCAGGGAGUCAUUGUUUUCGAAGUCCUUCCACCCAUCACUCUCCCUCUCCUCUCACUCCUCCAGUGCCUUUUGCUUUUCAGGAAACAGUUCGAAACUGAAAGCAGUCUGUGCUGGUCCCUGGCUGUGCUGACAGGUUGAAAUUUUCAACAGGGAACCAGUGCAAAGACAAUGGUGAUUUGAGAGUGGACAUUGGGCUUUAGGUUUGAGUACGUGUGUAUGUGACCCUGUGGGGAUUUCUUUCUUUUCUUUUUUUUUGAGAUAGACUUGCUCUGUCUCCCAGACUGGAGUGCAGUGGCUCGAUCCCAGCUCACUGCAACCUCCGCCACCCGGGUUCAAGCGAUUCUUGUGCCUCAGCCUCCCGAGUAUCUGGGACUACAGGCGCAUGCCACCACGCCAGCUAAUUUUUGUAUUUUUUGGUAGAGACAGGGUUUUGCCAUGUUGGCCAGGCUGGUCUCGAAUUUCUGGCCUCAAGUUAUCCACCCGCUUCGGCCUCUCAAAGUGCUAGGAUUACAGGCAUGAGCCACUGUGCUCAGCUAAUUUUUGUAUUUUUAGUAGAGAUGGAGUUUCACAGUGUUGGCCAGGCUGGUCUCAAACUUCUGGCCUCAAGUGAUCCGCUUGCCUCAGCCUCCCAAAGUGCCGGGAUUACAGGCGUGAGCCACCGCACCCUGUGGGAAUUUCUUUCUUCAACUCUCAAGCCUGCACAUAAGGACCUGAUUCAGGAAGAUCCACACAGAAACUCAGGAAGACUCUGGCUGGGGAGGUCCCCCUCUCACAUGCAGAGUGACCUCUCCAUAGACAUUGCCCGGAGUUGAUUAAUUGUUUGGUUUUCAAGGCCUGCCAUAGAGAAACUUAGAAUACAACGCCUAAGGAGUCGACAAGCUGCACAUCCAAUAUCAUAGAGCCACCCACUGAGGAAAUUGAGUCUCUUUCUCUUUUGCAAAGGAAAAAAUAAUUAAGCAAAGAUUAAAGCCCAAAGUGAAUGUCUUUCCUUGGACUGGAAUCAGACAUAUCUGCUUUAUUCCUCUCUGGCCUUCAGGGCCUCCCUAAGGUCCAGAGGGGCCUGGGCCACUUCUAUUUUUGAGAGAGAGAGAGAGAGAGAGAGAGAGAUGAAAAAACAAGGUUACAAAAUUGCGGUAUAUUUUAAAUGAGGGAAGUUCACAGAUCAAUUUCUUGGUACACAAAAAGCAAUAAAGUAUAAUUAAUUGAGCUCUAAAAAGAAGAUUGUGGCUGGAUGCAGUGGCUCACGCCUAUAAUCCCAACGGUUUGGGAGGCUGAGGUGGGAAGAUUGCUUGAGUCCAGGAAUUUGAGGCUGCAGGGAGCUAUGAUUGUGCCACUGAACUCCAGCCUGGGCAGCAAAGCAAGACACUGUCUGCAAGGGGGCAGAUAAUAAAAGGAUACGUAUAAAUGUAUGGGUUCAAUACUUCUGCCAACCAGCCCUGAAGUUUGUGGAAGGAAAAUAAAUCUCCAGACCCCACAACCACCAAGCCAAAGGGAACAGCCAAGCUGGGAACUGUUUAGAGCAAACCUGCCUCCCGUUCUAUUGCUAAAAAAGAUAGCUACUAAGAUUUAAAAAAAAAAAGCUACAUACCUCCCUCACAAUUCGUUCACAAAGAAAUUCCUUACGGACAAAGGACAGAUGUAACUCAAUGUCAUCCCUUUACUCUCUGAGAUAAAUGUAUAUCUGAUUGCUUCCCUUGGAAAGGCUAAUCAGAAACUCAAAAAAAUGCAACUGUUUGUCUCUUAUCUACCUGUGACCUGGAAGCCCCCUCCCACUUUGAGUUGUUUUGCCUUUCUAGACCGAACCAACGUACAUCUUACAUAUUAGGUUGGUGCAAAAGUAAUUGUGAUUUUUGCCAUUAAAACUAAUGUUGCCCAGGCUGGAGUGCAUUAAAAGUAAUGGCAAAACUGCAAUUACUUUUGUACCAAUCUAAUAUACUGAUUGAUGUCUUAUGUAUCCUUAAAAUGUAUAAAGCCAAGCUGUGCCCUGACCACCUCAUGUUGUGAGGACCUCCUGAGGCUGUCAUGGAUGUACUUUUAACCUUGGCAAAAUAAACUUCCAAAAUUAAUUGCGA
rnacentral:lncRNA from 1 species